rnacentral:piRNA from 1 species
UACUACGUAUGUCUCUCUUUGACUGGCAAUC